GUUAACCGGGGUUAUGACUUGGGGUGAACAAUAAGAAAUGGAAAUGGACAAUUACUUAACAUUAAAGUAUAUGGAAAUGUCACUCAUAGAUAAAAUGCUAGGAUCAUAUAUGAUUAUUUGGAUACUUAUAAAACAUACACAUAAAUGAGAACUGAUUAAGGUGGGUUACCCAAUAACACGUAUCCCAACUUCAUAACAUAGGGCUAUCCUAAUCAACGUAUUUUGCAGCGGAAAACGUGUGAGAUAUACAUAUGAAGAUGUAUACUCAAGGUUACAUUUCUUGAAAUGAUCAAAGGAACACCCGCUCAACACCAUUCCAUUCCAUCAGCUGCUCAACCUGCACAUUUAGAAAUACAUGCAGGGCUGAGUAUAAAAAUACUCAGUGGGCACGUAUGCCUAAGUAUAAAAAUACAUGCUUCAAAACUGUAAAUUGUCAUGCCAUCAUAAACAGUACAGCAAGGGAGUUUUUCGCUAAAAGGCCCAAGCUUACUAAAUUCAUUUGUGAUUCUUAAAGUUCGACUGCAGUCUAUAUUCUCUUGUAAUCCAUUUCCAUUUCUUAUUGUUCACCCCAAGUCAUAACCCCGGUUAACCCGUCAUUGGGAUAGUGGGCUGUGACAGGUGGUAUCAGAGCCGAACCUCUCCCAGUACGGUGUGGUUCGAGGACGAACCAAGCGGAAGCUGGUGGGCCUGUGACGCUCGGGGACGAAGUGCGGAGUGAUCGCCGGUGCAAAAGAGGCACGGACAAGGAGCGGCUCCGAUUAGGACUUCUAAGCGGAGGGGCGCAGGGAUGAACCGGAACACACCCGAACGAGAGGGAUUCCGAGAAUAUGCAGGUAUGAGACUGCAUAUUCGAGGAGAGCUUAAAUGAUUUGAUAGGUGCUACUCAUAUCAAUAAGAUGCAUCUUCUUUUCUGGUGCCCACACGGAAGAAACUCCAAGGUUAAGCGUGCUUGGCUUGGAGCAAUUCCGGGAUGGGUGACCCCCUGGGAAAUUUCUCAGGGAGCGUGCGAGUGAGGACAAAACACGCUAGAAAAGACUCGUAUUGGUCUGUGGGGACAGCCGUCAAGUCUGGAGCCGGACUGUUACAACUAUAUCGAAGAAGAAGUUGAGAAGGGUGAUGAAGUGGAGCCAAGUUUGGCAGAGAGACGUCAACGCAGAGAGAUUAGAAGGCCUAAUCGUUUCACCAAUUAGUAUUCUUUAUUUUAUGUCUUUUAAUUAGAUUAUGGCUAAGGCCCAUUAGCAUAGGGCCUCGUUAGUUGUUUACCUUUUCCUAUAUAAGGCUAUGAUUUAUUGUUCUAGGGUAUGCUUGAAAUAAUUUUCUCAUAGAGACGGCUGUUCUUACGUGAUCGUGAGAAUUUGCAGGAGUUUCACGUUCUCUUUAGCGUGAUUAUUAAUACAUCUCGUAUUAAUUGGUGCUUUCAUUGAGAGCCUUCACUCUCUCUCGGGCGCCGCUCAGCCCCGUUCUCUUCGCUUAUGGGGCAGCAUACAUAAUGAUUGAUAAUGGUAGCACUCAUAAUUUUAUCACCCCUAACCUUGCAGAGCGCCUCAAGUUAUCGCUUACUGCCAUCCCAAAUUUUCGGGUGUAUAUUGGCAAUGGAGAUUUUAUUAUUUGCCAACAUAAAUGCAUGGCUGUUUCUAUUGAUCUUCAAGGGACUUCUUUCACCUGCGAAUUAUUUGUGUUGCCAAUCAAGGGGCCUGAUAUUAUUCUUGGUAUUCAAUAUUGGCUCCAAGAAUUAGGCCAAGUAACUCAUGAUUAUCGGUGUGGUCGUAUGGAGUUUGAGUGGCAUGGCAAGCGGGUUAUUCUGGAUGAUGAUAACUCUUUGACUUCUCAUCAAGUUAGUUUCUCCAUGUUGCAGUCACUUGUAAACUCUGGUGAGGUCGAGGUCGACACUAUUUAUGAAAUCUGGCAUAUUGGCUCCACGCCACCGAGCACUCCAUCCAUCCCAUCAGUUGAUCUUCAAACCAUCCCUCCGGCUUUCCACAAGGUCCUCACUGAAUUUACUGAUGUCUUUGAUGCCCCGCGCGGCCUUCAUCUCGGCGUUACACGAGUAACAUCAAUCGUUUAUCGUUUAGAGCGUUAUUGAUGCUCUAAGGAGGCCAAUCGAGCAUGCAACCCAUUAUUUUUUCCACAAUUUUGUGUGUCAGCGUGCUCCACUAUUAUUUGUAUUAUAUUAACGAUCCUUUUUAAUUAUAAACAUAAAUGUUAUUCUAAUAUCAUGAAUUAUACUCCUACUUACCUUUCAUUUGCAUAAAAUUGAUUCUUUUUUUAAAAAUACACUAGCUAGAUAAUAAAUUAUCAUGUAAUAAACUAAAUAUAAAUAAUAAAAAUUAGUUGUAUACCCUAACUGGACGAAAUAAACCUUGGUGAAUAAUACUCCCUCCGUCCACGAAAGAACUUCCUAUCUUUCAUUUUUGGGACGUCCACAAAAGAACUUCCUACCUAUUUUUGGACUAUAUCCCACCACUUAUAAUCCUCUUACUUUUCACUUUUCACAACUCUCAAUAUUAAUUAUAACACCUUUUCAUCACUCCCAAUACACUCAACUACCUUUUAUCCACUCUCAAUACACUCAACAAUAUUUUUUCUUAAAACCUGUGCCACUCCCUCCUAAGAAGUUCUUUCAUGGACGGAGGGAGUAUAAUACUAUUUUUAAAAAAAAUUACUUCCUCUGUCCCUGAAAUAAGUUCCUCUUUGGGACGACACGAGUUUUAAGGAAAAGUGGUAAAAUGUAUUGAUAGUGGGAAAAAAUGCGUUAUAAUUAUUAUUGGGAGUAGUGAAACUGUGGAAAAGUGUUAUAAUUAGUAUUGAAAGUGGUGAAAAAGUGAAAAGUAAGAAUAAAUAAAAAUUAUUAGUGUUAUGGUAGUUGUCCAAAAAUAGAAAGAUAGAAAGAGGAACUAAUUUGGAGGACGUCCUAAAAAGGGAAAAAAAAGAAGAAUUUAUUUCAGCGACAGAGGGAGUACUAAUAUAUAGUAAACCAAGUGAAGUAAAUUAGAUCUUAAGUUGACUUCUCCUACAUAAUUUUGUUGAGCUCAUAUUAACCAAGAACCAUUAAUGGUGUCCGCGUGGAAGCUUCAAACCCACCAAGAGUAAAAAUCAUACUACAAAGACUUGCUUUUGGGGUCUUCGUUGAAGCUUCUAACGCGCUAUAAACACGCAGGAGAUGGAGUAAUUAAAUGUCGUGUGCAUUUCUUGUUUGGUUACAUAGAAUUUGAGAUUGAAGCAGAGACGAAGCAUAGCAUAGUGGGAAAUAGGCCAAUCGUUCCAAUCCAGUAGAUGAAUUCUUCAAAAUAUACCCAAAUUUCUUCUACAAUAUAUUUGCAGCAUUAGGGAAAAAAAAAAAAAACAUUGUUACGUACUUACGUUAAUUUGUUCAUUUCAAAUUAAUGAAUUUUAAUAGUUUGCGCAUGUGUAAUUCUCACUAAAUUUCAAUCAUAUAUGUAAUAUAUUUAUCUAUUAGUAUAACUUCAUAUAUGGGAUAGAUUCAAAUAGUACCCAUAUAUUUUUCUUGAAGGAACCCAGCUAAAGACAAAUGUAUCCACUCGCAGUAUUCAACUACUUUAUUAAAACUUUGUGUCCUUUAGAAGUAGAUACAUUUUAUUUGUUUUUGUUCGUUUAAAUAAAAUAAUAUACUCCAUCCGUCCAUGAAAUGGUUUCCUCUUUGGGGAUGGCACGGGUUUUAAUGAAAAGUUGUAAAAUGUAUUGAUGGUGGAGAAAAAAUGAUAUAAUUAUUAUUGAAAGUUGUGAAAAGUGUAAUGAUUAGUAUUGAGAGUAUUGAAAAGUGUUAUAAUUAGUACUGGGAGUAGUGAAAAGUGAAAAGUAAGAAUAAAUAAAGUAUUGUUAGUGGUUGGGUAGUUUUCCAAAAAUGGAAAAAAAGAAAGAGGAAGUUAUUUGUGGGACGUCCCAAAAUGGAAAAAGAGAAAGUUAUUUCAGGGACGGAGGGAGUAUAUAAUUUAUUUUUGAUAAAUUUUAUAAUCAUAAUAAAAUGAGACCCGUAUUUCACUCACACCAUAUUUAAUUAUUUUAUUAAAAUCUAUGUCGUUUAGAAGUAGAUACAUUUUAAGUACUUGUAGGUAGGGGCGGAUCCAGGAAUUUACGUUGGGGGGCUGAAUUUGUUGAACUACGACGUCUGAAAAUAUUUACACAGGGGUUCAGGGGCGGGAGCCCCCGAAGCAAAUUUUUUUGAGCAUUCCGUACACUUUGUUUUCAUGCAUUUUUUUUAACAAUUACUUAAUAAAAUAGAUAAUUGUUCGCAAUUCAAUUAAUUCAAACAUCAAGUAGAUUGAAAACAUAUAAAGACAUACUUUUAUGCAUUUAAAAAAAUUAACUAUAGAAUUGACUCAAAUUUAACAUUAAAAAUUAACUAAGAAAGAAAAAAAAAAUUAACUUUAGAAAUUGACUCAAAUAUAACAUUAAAAAUUAACUAAGAAAGAAAAAAUGAUAAAAAUAGCAUAAAUGUAACAAAUCAAUGUGUUAAGGAAUUAAUAUUGAUAGUUGAAUACUAUAAACAAUGUAUUACUAUAGUUUUUCUUGUAUUUCUUAUUUAUAUACACACAUAUAUAGAUAUUAAAUUAAAUAAAAUAUAUAUGGUGGACGUCGUUUUUCACCAAAUAAUUCCUGCAGAAUUAUCAAGAACUAAUUAGUACACCGAUAAGCAGGGUCGAUCCCACAGAGAGCAGAUAAAACCAUUCAAUUCCCUAAAAUCUAUAAAAUUGGUGUAGCCACCACACCUUAAAUUGGGAGAAAAUAUUAAUUAAACUAAGAAAACAAAAUUAAUCAAAUAAAAGACUCUAGAAAAAUAUCAAUAGAAAGGUAAUUCGGCUCAAAUAAAUCCACACUAAUUCAAAGCUCUGAUCAUCGACGCAAUAAUUAAUUAAUGUGUCAAUAUAUAAAAAUACCCACUUUCAUAUAGCAAAAAUAAAUUUUACCCACUAGGAUAAAAACAUAAAAUUUUACCCACUUUUUGAACGAAAAGACUAAAAUACCCCUCCUUAAAUAUUUGCAAUUCUCGCCCCUCUCUCUCAUUCCUCUCUCCACUCUCUCUCUCUCUAUCUAUCUCUCUCUCUCUCACACACACACACACACAGACGAUUAAGGUGGCAGAUCAAUUGGAGGCGGCGGUUCGACUGGAGCACGGCGGUGGCGGCCGAGGGCGGCGAUGGCGACAUCGGCGUUUCCGCCGCGCGUUCCUCUCCUCAUCUCCAAUCUCGGCGUGUCUCUCUUCUUCUUCUCUUCGCUCUCGGUCUCUCAUCUCUCUUUCCCUGCGCUCGCACUCCUCUUUUUCUCUCUAUCUGCUAGAUCUAUGGCAGCGGCGACUGCGUGUCGUAGAUGAGGCGGAUGAAGUGGCGGCUAGGGUUUGGUUGUACUGUGGUCAUCGGGAUUUGAGAGGAGACCGGAUUUGGGAGCCUAGGGUUUGGCGGCGGCGGCCCUACCGUCGUUCAGAUCGGAACGGGAAAGAGACGAGCGAGGGGAAGGGAGAUGUGUGGGGGUGGCCGUUGUCUCUUCUUCCGCGGGGGCUGCCGCCUUGUAUCAACGAAGGUCUGAUGCAGCCGCCGCCGCCGCUCUCUCUCUCUCUCUCUCCUCUCGCUCUCUCUCUCAUCGCAGAUCUUCUCUCCCUCUCGAUCUGUUCUGUCGCCGCCGCUGGUUUCGCUGCUGGGUACCGCUGCCCUAUUCCCACUCUUCCCUCUCUGAAAUUGCAUCGCAUCUCUCUCUUCGUAAAUCUCUGCUCCUCUCCAUCACUGCAAAUCUCCUCAUGUUUGAAUUUUGAUGAAGCUUGUUCUAGAAUGAAUUUGAAUUAGGAUGAAAUUUGAUGCUGAUGAGAAUGAUUGCCGAUGAGAAUGAUUGCCGAUGAAUUUCUGCAGAUUGGAUAAAUUUCUUCCUAAUUCAAUUGAACGUAAUCGAAAAAACAUAUAAGCAACGAAGAAAUUGAUGAAAAUCGCGCAAUUUUGUACAAAUGUUCUUGAAUUCACAACCAGGUUUAUGAAUUCACAACUGAAUUAUCAGCGUUGGUUGUGAAUUCACAAUUGAAAUAGUGUUGGUUGUGAAUUCAAGUUUCAUUGGUUGUGAAUUCACAAUUUGAAAUAAUGUUGGUUGUGAAUUCAAGUUUUAUCGGUUGUGAAUUCACAACUCGAAAUAAUGUUGGUUGUGAAUUCACGCGAAUUCACAACCAACACUUGUUAUUCACAACCAAUACUUGAAUUUAGUUGUGAAUUCGAGUUGAAUUCACAACCAGUGAACAGUGGGUAUUUGUAAAAUUUUAUAUGUAAGGGUAAAAUGGUAAAUGUGGGUAUUUUUUAAAGUUUUUAUAUUAGUGGGUAAAAUUUAUUUUUACUAUAUAAAAGUGGUUAUUUUCAAAAUCCACUCUUAAUUAAUCCCUGAAAAAUUCGAACUCUGCCACUUCUUGAAUAAUCCGCCAAUCUCCAAACAAGAAGAGUUAAAACAAUUAAAAUUCUCCUAAUCAAACUAAGCUAUACGUAAGUGCUAGAAAAGUAAAGAAUCAAAUGUUGUAAAAGUAAAAACUAAAAAUCAACCUAAUUCUAAUUAUAUAUUAAAAGUGGCGGCUAGGUCAUUAGACUUAAACUAAGGGAAUUAACUCCCACAAUUCACAAAUAGCCGCCUACUUCAAAUUCGGCUGCCAAAAUUCGAAUAAAAAGGCCCAAUUACAUAACUAAUCAAAAGUUUAAAGUUUAAUUAAAAUCCAAGCAAAUAUUCCAAGCCCAAAUCGUCUUCCAUCCACAAGAGUCAUCCAACUUUAUCAAUCUCCAUGCAAUACUCGAUUAAUUACCAUGCAAAAUUCGAUCAACGUCCACUUCUUCCAUCCACAAGUUCCAUCUCCAAUUUUGCUCAAUUCCUACAUCCAAAAUACCACACAACCAUGUAAAACCAUAUAAAACCAUGACGAAACACACACCAAACUAAGUAGCUAAAAUACACACAUCAAUAUAUCUAUAUUAUAAAAAAAAAAACUAAAAAAUUGGAGGGGGCUGAAGCCCCCCCUUGGAUCCGCCAAUGCUUGUAGGUGUAUCUCUGGCCAGUAGGGGUGAGCAUCAGUUCGGUUCAGUGCAAAACCGAACUAAAAACUCAAAACCGAAAACCGAACCGAUGGUUAAAAUUGGAACCGAACCGCACCAAUUGGGGGUCCGAAACCGAACCGAUAAAACCAUCGGUGAACCGAACCAAACGAUGCAAUUUAUUUUAUUUUAUUUUAUUUUAUUCAAAAAUACAAAUUAAAAAUGGUAAAAUAAUGUAAAAUACACAAAUUUCAAAUAUCAAAUCCCCACAACAUGAACAUGAUAAAUAAUUAUAUAUUAUAAUUGUGAAUUAGGAUUUUAGUUUUAUGUUAAAAAAUUAGAAAAAUAAUUAUAUAUUAUAAAAUAAUUAUAUAUAAUAAAAUAUUAAUAUGUAUCGGUUCGAUUCGGUUUAAAACCAAACCAAAAAAUGGAAACCGACACCAAACCGAAAAUUUUCAGUUUUUACUUUUCAAAACCGAACCGAAAACCGAACCAAUGGAAUUGGGACCUAACCGCACCAAUCCGGUUCGGUUCGGUUCGGUUUUUAGUGUCGGUUCGGUUUCUGCUCACCCAUACUGGCCAGCUCCUACACAAUCCUCACAACACUGUGAAGGCUCUCUUAAAGGCUUUAAAUGCGGUAAAUGAGAGGAAUUAUAUAGUUAUGUGUAUUUGGAGGCAAAUUUUAUAGUUAUGUAUAAAACUAGAAUUGAUUGAAAGUUUGUGUAUGUAGGCGCAACGAACCCAUUGAAAUUUGCAGUUCCUUAAAAUUUAAUUAAUUGCACAAUAUUCAUCAAAUUUCCUCUUGAAUUGAAUAACAUGCUAGUUUUUUUGAGAUGAUUGAAUAACAUAGGUCUAGCAGAUUUUUGUAAAACAAGACACUUUUAUAAUAAGUAUAGAUUAUAGAUACUAAACAUAUGAUUUGUCUUGCUAAAAAUAAAAAUAAUUAAAAAUAAGUAAAAUAUAAAGUUAUAAGGAAAAAUCAUGUGUUUUUGCGAGGCAAUGUGGGUAAAAAAUCUAUGCAUUUUUUUCUUUGGAUUUAAGACGAGAGAAUAGAGAAUUGAAGUCCAGUUAUUUAGGUUAGUAAGAAGAUGAAUAGAAAAGAUUUGUGAUAAAUUAAUUAAUUUAUUAGUAAAAUAAAAAGAAGGGUUAAGGUGCAGAUUCGUCCCUGAACUCGACUCCCCUAGAGCGUUGAGCCCCCCAUACUCGGUCAAGGCGCGUUGACCUCCCUGAACUCCCGAAAGAAGGGUGCAUUUAAGUCCACUCGUUUAACGGCUGUUAAACACCGUUUAACUUUAAUCUUUUCUCUUUUUUUUUUGCGGUGGGUCCCACUCCUCUCUCUCUCUCUCCAAUGGAUUCCCUCACUGUCAAAGCGUACACGACGAGGACGCGAAAGGGGAAGGUUUCAAGCCACGACGGCAAAACAAGGUGGCCAAGACAAGCAAACCCCGAUCGAUCUCCAGCGGCGAAAGCGUGAAAGGGUACAAGAAAAUCCUGGUGCUUACACCGACUACGAGCGGCAGCGGAAGCCGGAGAAGACAAUUGCUGUACACCCCCAUAACGAUGUGCCCACCAUCUCCCCCGCAACUUCACGGCGUCUCCUGCAACUCCUCGCAUCUCCUCUUCUCCCUCCAAACCCUCACUCUCCAAAACUCAAACAUCUCCGGCUCCAUCUCCGCGCCGCCAAACUUCCCUCCGCCCCGCCCUCACCUCACUAGAUAUGUCCCAAAACUUCCUCUCCGACCUUUCCGCCCUCGCCGCCUGCCCCGCCCUCACCUUCCUCAACCUCUCCUCAAACUCCAUCGACCCACUCCCCCCUCCCCACCAGCGCCGCCGCAAUACCCUCCCUAAAAACCCUCGAUCUCUCCCACAAAACAUUCCUGCGACACCUCGCCGCAUGGCUCCUCUCCGGCGCCGAAUUCCCUCCCUGCAGCAUCUCUCACCCCAAUUCAACAACCUCGUCGGAAUCCUCCCCUCCAAGAACCUCGCGCAUUUGGAUCUCGCUAGAAACAACAUCUCCCUCAAUUUCCCCAAUUCACGACUGCUCAGCUUGCAGCACCUGCUACUUUAGUUUCAUACCAAAAUGUUAACAGAGACGGCGGAGUCGAGCAGCAGACGAACCAGUAGAGGCCACGGCGAGGACGAUGCGGCGGUGGAGAAGAGAUGAGGGAAUCCAUUGGAGAGAGAGAGAGGAGUGGACCCACCGCAAAUAUAUAAAAAAAUUAAGUUAAACGGCGUUUAACAGCCGUUUAACAGUGACUUAAAUGCACCCUUCUUUCUGGAGUUCAGGGAGGUCAACGCGCCUUGACCGAGUAUGGGGGGCUCAACGCUCUAGGGGGUCGAGUUCAAGGACCAAUCUGCACAUUUGCCCUUUUUUAAAUAGUAAAAUUUAUGAAAAUUGGGGUGUUAUAGUUCCUCUGCAUCUCUACACUAUCUUUCUCGCAGAAGAGUAAAAACUCCCCAAUCAGCCCAAUUUCUAUACUUUCACCUCAACCGCUCAUCUAACUCUGACGAGUAGCCAUCAGCGUCGUAACAACAGCAACACCACUGCCUUCUUUUCCGGCCGAACAACAAUGGACUUUACCAUCACCGUCAACCUGCACCUUUACACUUGAAACCUCCUUGACUGACUUUCUCUCUCUCUCAGACGAAUAACAUCAGUAGACUAUCAUCUUUUCUUUAUUAUUUUAAUCCAUGUGUAUUGAUAACGUGGUAAUUGGUCGAAACACAUCAAUUAUCGGUCGUGAGAUUGUUUUUGCAGACCACAAAAAAAAAUAGAACGAUGGAUAUUUGUUCGCAAUUUAUUUUCACUAGGCCGCAAGUAUACAUGUAGUUGCAAUAAGUGGAAAUAAGGUCGUAUCCCACGAGGAUUAGUGGCUAAAUUCUAUUGAUUAUCCUAAUUUAUUGAGUUAUGGCUAUUUAGACUAAGUAGUGAAGUGAGUGGUUUGAUUAUCUAAUUGAUUACCUAACAAAUUCAAAGACAAUUAAGAACAAAUAAAUAAAGUAGAUUACUUAUGUAACACCCCAAUUUUCAUAAACUUUUCAAACUAAAAUCUUUGAAGAACUAAUAGUUAAAAUAAAAUAUUUUGACUAUCAAAAUUUAAACUAAUUUAAAAAUCAACUUGCCAGAACUAAAAUAGUAACAUGAAAUAAAAACGAUAAUUUAAAACGUAACAAGUUUACUUAAAUUUUCUAUGCAAAAUCUUUAUCUCUACUCAUUCUCAACUUCCAUGGCCACCUCGACUCCAGAACUGCAAAAACUGAAAGGAAAAGAGGGUGAGCAUAUUGAAAAAUAUACUCAGUGAGGAACAUAACAAAUAUCCAUAUACGUCACAUAUAUAAUUAAAUCACGUUAUGGUAACAUGUAGUACUUGCAAACAUGCGCCAAGGGGUAGAGACCUAAGCCCCUUGACGAAACAUAAACAUAGCUUGAGUCAAUGGAGUAGAUCUCAUGACCAAUCGUAGACGUAACCUAAGUCAAUAAGGUAGAGACAUAAGCCUCAUGACUUAGUCAUAAACUUAUAACAUGAAUCGAUGGGAAGCCCCAUGAUUAAAUCGUAGACGUAACCUAAGUCAAUGAGGUAGAGACGUAAGUCUCAUGACUUAGUCAUAAUCAUAAAAUGAGAUGCACGUAAACACGUAAUCAAACAUGAAAGUAAAACAUAUAUAACAAUAUGAAUAAGUGUAAAAUCCUUCACCUUAAUGUCGUAGACAAUAAAAUCAACAAAUUCUGGAAUGAAGGUCUUAAUCGCACUGAUUUAUGCCUAAUUGUUCUUAUUUUAGGGGUUUGCAUGUGCGUAUUUUAAGUUAAAUAUUCUGAAAAUUGGUGCGUUUAUGGGUUUGUUUUAUGCUUUACAGGAGAUUUAAGUUUUAUAGAUGGAAGAGUGUAAUUUUGGAGAUUUUGGGUAAGAUUGGCGUUUUUAGGCGCAAUCUGGUGUCCAGAGCUGAAAGCCCGCGCUAGAGCAGAGCUGAAAAGGCGCAUGACAGAGCAGAGCUCACAUCGUCAAACCAGAAAUCCUAUCUCCAGAGCUGAACUUCACUAUCAGAGCUGAAAUCUCCAUAGCAGAACAAACUUGUCAGAGCAGAGCUAAACUCGACAGAGCUGACUUACGCGCCAGAGUAAACACAGACCAGAGCUGCGAAGAAUCGACAGAGCUAGAGCAAAUAUCCAGAGCUGAAUCCCGUCAGCAUAUUGCCAGAGCUGACUUCCAGCUCUGCCUUGCCAGAUUGAACUUUCCAGAGCUGACUUUCAGCUCUAUCAUACCUUUCCAGAGCCGAACUUCCAGAGUUACAGAGCAGAGUUACGAUUUCUCGCCAGAGUUAAGAUGACUUGCAGAGCACGAUCCAGCUGGACUUACCUUUGAAUGCACGAUUCUAUUUCCUUAAGAGUCCAGUUUUGCAAGGCGAGUUUGAUGAUAAUUAGGGUUGAAGGAAGUCUAUAAAAGGGGCUUGAACGUGAAUGAAGAAAUCAAUCUUUUGCCUCUGGCACUUAGUUAGACUUAGUUAGAAUCAAUCUCGCCCUAAUCUUUAGUUUUCGCCUAGGUAGUUAAAGUUUAGGUUUUUAUUGCUUUCAAAGUUCUUAGUUUCGAUUUCAGUUCUUAGUUAGUUUAUUAUAGUUCUUUCAAUUCAAGUUUUAGUUGGUUCCCGUUUAGAGUUGUAAUCACGUGACAGGUUGCUUCUCGAGACGUUUUACGGUAUUUAAUUUAAUUUACUUGUUUUGUUACGUUUAUGCGUUUCUUUAAAUUCUGCACUUUAAAUUAUGCAAUUUUAAUUAUGCAAUUUCAAUUAUGCAUUUUCAUGCUUUCCUUUAAAUUAUGCAAUUUAGUUUUAUGCUCAUUAGAUUAGAAGCUUUUAAUUUACAAGUUUUUAAAUUUCUAGUUAGCUUUUAAUUCUUAAGUUGCUUUACUUUAAGUUCGUUUAAGUUCUUGCAUAGGUUUAAUAGUUUAAUUUGCCUAGUUAAUCCUCUAGUUUAAAUUCAAGUUAAGUUUACUUUUCAUGUUAAAUUUACUUUACAAGUUUUAGUUAAUAAUCAAGUUUACCGUUUUCGUGUGAUAUAAUUAAUUGCCCUUAAAGAUCUUCCUUGCGAGACGACAUUGGGUUAGCUUACCACUGCUAGAGUGUCCUUGUCCUAUUGCAAGUCAAUCUAGCGUAGUGUUUAGGUUGAGUCACGCACCGCACCUAAUUCAAUAGAUGAUCGUUUCAAUAUGAGCCCUACUAUAACUUAAACUAAAAUUCUAUAAGCAAAUUUAUAUAAUUGUGUAUGUGAAUAUAUAUAAUAUAUAGCGGGGGCUAAUAAAACACUUCUUAAAAUAUAAAUAUAAACGUUUUUUAAUGUACGAAUUUUAUCCAACAGGAUUACGAAUUCAUCCAACAUGUUACGAAUUGUGAAAAAUAAAUUUUUGCUACCUUUGGAUUCGAACCAGGACCACGAAUUCAUCCAAAAGGGUUACGAAUCAACCGUAGAUCUUGAUGAUCUAAGGGCUGAAAAUCAUUUAUAUUUUAUACACUUAAGAGUGUUUUUAUUCUAGUCCUCCCCUAUAUAUAUAUAUAUAUAUAUAUAUAUAUAUAAUAUAGUAGAGAGAGAGAGAGAGAGAGAGAGAAGGACUACUGUUAGGACACCUCUUAAAAUAAGAAAUAAGAAUUAGGAAAAAUAUAUGAAUUUUAUGUAGAACACGUAUGAAUUCGUUGUAUAAAGGUAUGAAUUGCGAAAAAUAAACUUUUGCUACCUUUGAUAUUCGAACUCAGGACCAUGAAUUCAUUUAACAGGAUGAUGAAUCAACCGUAAAUCUUUCGUGGACGAAUAUAUUAUAUUUACAAAAUCUCGAUCUUUUAAAAAUUGUUAUUGUUUUUUUACUAUUACUAUUAUUAUUAUUAUUAUUCCCUCCGUCUCACAAAAACAUGAACAUUUUUCCAUUUUGGGGCGUCUCACAAAAACAUGAACAUUUUUAUUUUGGUACACUAUCUCACCACAAUCCAUUUUCAUCUCUACUUUUUAUAAAGUGGGACCCAGUUUCCACUCACAAUACACUUUUAUCUAAUAUUUUUUAAAACUCGUGUCAUUUACAAAUUUUCAUGUUUUUGUGAGACGGAUGGAGUAUUAUUAUUAUUAUUAUUAUUAUUAUUAUUAUUAUUAUUAUUAUUUCUUUGAUUAGAUAUUCAUUUUUUUAAUCUAAAAAAGGUUACAUUAAAUCAUUUUAAACCCCAAACUAUUUUGGCACUAUCAUUUAUAUCCUGAACUAUUGAAAAUAUUUUUUUAAAUCUUGAACUAUUAAUUUUGUAUUAAUUGCACCCUUUACCUUUUGAAUUUUUAAUUAAUAAGGGAUAUAAUCACGUCGUUUUAUAUAAGGUCAAAAAAAGAAUAAUUCUAAUUAGAUCGUAGCAUCCAGCGAGGCACAUCAAAAUAUUAGAAUAAAAAAAAUAAACGAAUGAUAUAAUUGAUAUACAAUUAAUAAUUCAAAAUUUUAAAAAUUAUUUUCAACAAUUAAGAAUAUAAUUUGAUUGUACGAAAAACUCAAGCACCACACUAUUCCGCCCAAGUUUGAAGUAUCUAUGAAAUCACAAUUCCCAAUUGACGCUAGAAAAUGGGAUGAAAACCGAAGACGUAAACACUGUAGAUCCAAUUUGGGCAAAAGCUUCUUCCAAUUCUCACAUUUCCCGGGCUGCCACUCCUUAUAAUUACUAGCAGCGCCGCCGCACCCUCCUCCCUUAUUCGCCGUUGAGCUCGGGGACAAUCGAAUGGGCAAUCCGAAGCAGAAGUGGACCUCCGAGGAGGAGGAAGCGCUGCGCGCCGGCGUAGCGAAGCACGGCGCUGGAAAGUGGAAAAAUAUUCAGAGAGACCCCGAAUUCAACCACCUCCUCUUCUCUCGCUCCAACAUUGACCUCAAGGUACGUCUGAAUGUACAUUUACUGAGUAGGUCCUUCAGUUGAUUGUUUUUGGCGGUUACGUGUUUUUAUUUUCCCCAAUCGUGUCUCUUGGUGCUUGCUGGUUCCAGCAUUGUGGCAUGUGUGGAUGAAUUGAAUUGGGGAAAUCAUGGAAUAUAUGGAGUUGAGUGUCUGGGCUUUCGAGCGGUCGUUGCUCAGAUGAAGAUUCUCUUUAUCAAAAGAGUUCAUAGACACCAUUUCAGUUUUUCGCAGAAUAUUCUACGUUCUAUCAGGAAAAUUUCUAUCCCAUUGAAAGUGGAUUAACGCGAUUGUCUUCUGCAAGUGCCGAGGGCAUGUAUAUAUAAUAAAUUAACAUUACUUUCAUUUUUAGGUCUUCCUUUCGGUUCCAUUUCAAAAUUGUAUCGGCUUGUCUCUGUAUGUACUGGAGAAGAAUCCUGUCACUUUCUAUGUGGAGGAAAUGAUUUGUUUGGGUAUUAUGUGUCAUUGCUACUCCACGUGCAUAUAUACAAAUAAGCUCUCUGAAUCUACAAACUGAUGUAAUUUUUAUUAAGAGAGAGAACAAAUAUUAUACGCACUAUGUAAACCAGAAAAAAUACAAGUAGUUGAUCUGUGGGUUGCUUAUGCAGGAUAAAUGGCGGAACUUGAGUGUAGCAAACGGCCAAGGGCCUAGAGAUAAAUCAAAGACACCAAAAACAAAGGCGAGCCCUGCUGAAUCCCCUGCAACUCCACUCCCUGCUGCACAGACCUCUGCCAUUGUUCCAUAUUCUCAGGAUAAGUCAGCUGAUGUAGUCAUGUUAGAUUCUUCAAAGCCCUUACCUGAAGGAAAUAGUGCUGCCAAGUAAUGUACUGCUAUUCUUUUCUCAAUAUUUAUUAUGCUAAUCUUGGUCUAGUGAUCUGGUUAACCUGAAGUAUUUUUCUAAUCUAUUGAUGUUGUAAUGUCUGAGAUAUGACUAAUGAUAUUCUCCGUCCGUCCACCAAGAGUGUAACACUUCUGGUGGACACGAGUUCUAAGAAAAUAGUUGGUAGAUGUGUGUUAAGUAUAAAUGAGUGGUUGUGGUUGAAUUGAGUGUGGGACCAUAUAGAAAUGAGUAGUUGUAGUUAAAAGGAGAAAGUGGGGUCUUGUCCCAAGAAAGAAAGUGUUACACUCUUUGUGGACGUCCAAUCGGGUAAUUGUGUCAUACUCUUGGUAGACGGAGUGAGUAUGAGUUAUGAGCUUCUUGAUGUAUUAUCUAUCUUGGUUGACAUCAGGCAAUACAAUUGAAAUGUGCUUAAAUAGACUCUAGAUAAGAGUGUUGGUCCAAGGCGGGCAUGAGAAAGUCCCGAGGCUGAUUAGACUUUCCUUAUAAAGAUUCUUGCAAUGGUCAACAUUUCUGUUCACUUACAACGUUGUAUCUCAAUAGGCUGUAAGAAGUCCAUCGGAGGACAUCACCGGAGACAGCUGUAAUCUAGGCUCAAGCGAUAUUUUUCUGUUGCCUUUGUUUUAUUUCAAUUAAUGAAUAAUUGCAUUCUUCUCAGGUAUAAUGCAAUGAUAUUUGAAGCAUUGUCUACUCUUAAAGAGCCAAAUGGAUCAGAUUCUGGUGCGAUCGCUACCUAUAUUGAGGUUUGUCUCUAAUGUCAUCUUUAAUGAUUUCUACGUCAUGUCUUACUAAAAUUGGUUGCAAGUACUAUUAGCUUGAAAUGUACUUUUUGAGGAUCUCCGAAUGGGAAUUAAAGUUCUCUCCUCAAGAUGUGGUAGGGAUCAAUAGUUCAUUAAUGCUUGACCUGCAAGUUGAAGUUUCUGAGCGCAUAAUGUCACCGAUAAUAUCUCAAGAAGUAGAACAAUUGCGUAUUGCUGUUACAAGUGUAUCUGUAUGAAUUAGGUUUCAACAUUUAAAUGAUAUCUUUUGGUAUGCUCUUUUGGAAAUAUUGAUUAUCUUGAUUUUAUUCCCUCACUUUGUGACGCCCGGGCAGAAGUAAGGAGUGAUUGUCAGUGCACAAGGCACGGACAAAGAGCGGCUCCUAUUAAUGCUUUGAAGCGGAACGAACCGAAAUACACCGGAAAGAGAGAGAUUUUAAGAAUAUGCAAGAAUGAGACUGCAUAUUCGAGGAGAUCUUAAAUGCAUUACUCGUACCAACAAGAUGCAUCUUCUUUUCUGGUGACCAUGUGGAAGAAACUUCAAGGUUAAGCUUGCUUGACUUGGAGAAAUUCCAUGAUGGGUGACCCCCUGAAAGGUUCUUAGGGANUGGGUGACCCCCUGAAAGGUUCUUAGGGAGUGUGCGAGUGAGGACAAAGUACACUAGAAAAGAUUCAUGUUGGUGACUUAGAUCUCUAUCUCUUUAACCGUUUUCUGAAAAAUCUCCUGAUGCUUUUUAGUUUUUUUUACCAACUGAUUUUUACCGUUUACCUUAGAAGACAGUCCAUAUCUCUGAGCAACCCUUUUUACAACCUUUUUACACUAUAAUUUACCAAACACUUUAACUACCAAAAUUUUCUUCAUAAAUUGGUUAGGAGGAGCUUACUUUUAAUACGAGAGCAAACAUUUGUUGUGGUUGUUUAGACUUAGGGGGCGUUCACUUUGAUGGAUUAGCCAUGAUAGAUAAAAAUAGUAAGACUAAUCUCUUGUUUACUUUGAUGGAUUGAAACUUUAUGAUAUCCCAAGACUCUUGAUUAUUUUUAUCAUGUAAGCUAGUUUUGCUUGAUUCUUAUCCCAUUGAAAAAGUGAGAUUGGAGAAAUCCCACUAUUAAGGAUAACAAUACUCAAUCAUGCAUCUUAUCAAUCAUGCAAGUAAACGCCCCCUUAAAGUCCAACUUAUAUAGUCAAAAGAAUUUGUUUUAUUUUCUUUGGCAUUGUAGACUAUAAUAUUUAAACUGGCGAUGGCAAUUGGUUGUCUCGCCCAACCACCUUGAUAUCAUCAAGGGUUUUAAAACAAGAACUUUUUUGCUAUAUGUUUUACAGCAAAGGCAGGAAGUACCACAAAAUUUCAAGAGGGCAUUGAGUUCUAGAUUGAGGAGGCUUGUGCAACAAGAUAAACUUGAAAAGGUAAUUUUGUAUUUUGUAACUUUGGUUGGUUUUUAUUGAUGUACGGAGUGCUAGGAUUCAAGAUUUCUGCUUGAACUGAUGGCUCUUAGCUGAUAUUCUUUGUCUUGUUCAUACAUCUGUUCUUGUUUCUACUUUCCUUGAGAUUUGAUUCUGCCUCUGGAUCGGUGAAAUUGUAUCUGAGUUAUCUGUUCUUUUUAUUGAUGUAGCUACCACUGAAUUUCCUACUGCCAUGUGAAUAACUGAGAUGUUUUUGGAGUAGUCAAUGUUUUGCUGGACAUCAAGUUUCUAUCUUCUAUGACUAAAGAAAAAUGGCCACACUUGUUUUUCGCUAUUUCCAUAUAACUAAUGAGUUCAUGGUACUGGUGAGAGGAUUUAUUAUAUAGCUCUUCAGCUUAUUAUAAAAUGAAAUAAAGUUUUGAUCUUUCUUUAAGAUUUUGUAAUAUGCUUGGCAUCUUUUUACUAAACUUAUAUGUACUUUAAAUCAUCGGACUAUGUUGUGCUUUUACUAGUUAGCUAUGAAACUUGUUCCUGACCUCACCGAGUUGAAAAAUUGGGCCUCCUGUGCAAACAUUGGUUGAGCCCUCUGCUUCUAAAAAGAUGAUUAAUUUGAUGACUAAUUAAAUCAUUUCGUAGGCAAAAAUUGUAAUCCAUUUAAUGCCGAGGGAGUGGGAGCUGAUGAAUAAGUUAUCAAUGAUGGGAAUCCUUUGAUUGAACUUUUUUCUCAUGGACUACUUGAGAUUUCCCUUAGCUUCCUUGAUGUUACUUUGUCAAAUAAGUGGUCAACUAAACUGAGUCGACCAUUUUCUUCAAUAUUAUAGUGAGUGAAAGAUGAAGAUGCAUGAGUCGUAAGAUUACAGUGUUUCUUUUUCAAGUUACGGCCUUUUAUUGUUUACAGUUCACGUACAGAAUCUUUCCUUCUCAGAUAACCAAGAUAGUCUGGGAUCACAUGGAAUCAGAAACUAAACAUCUUGAUAUUGCGUCGAUUUCAGGUUCAGAAUUGCUACAGAAUUAAAAAUAAAGCUCAGUUAGACACAAGAAUCCCCAUAACAAGACCGAAAGAGCUGCAGCCGCCCAGACAAGUCCAGAGCAUUGGUUAUCUAGGCAAUACAGUUGAGGAAGCAGCAGUGUCUGCUGCUUACAAAAUUGCAGAGGCUGAAAACAAAUCAUUUGUUGCUGCUGAAGCAGUGAAAGAGGCGGAAAGGGUUUCCACGAUGGCUGAGGACAUGGAAUCGCUCCUCCAGUUCGCUUCAGAUUGUUUCGAUCAAAGUAUUAGCAGCAAACUCUACUUUCUUCUUAUCUCAUUUCAGGAUAACUAUAAUGCAAAUAUAUCUGUUCUUGUUGUGUAGUUCUAUGAUCAUAAUACACCUGCAUUUUAUCUUCAUGCUGGCAGGUGCACGAGGCGAAAUUAUUCUGAUGGCAUAGGAUCUACACUAGAGAAAUUUCGAUCCCCUUAUUUCAGAAACUUGUAAAUAACUAAGCAGUUGCUGUAUUUUUGUAGACGAAGUGUGUGUACUUGAUUCAUUUACCAGAAAAUGAAAAGAUUUUUCAAGCUCGUAUUGGAGCUUAUUAAAUGGCUUACAGGAUGAGUAAAUCAACAAGAUUAAUGUUUUUUUUUUUGGUUUUUGGAAGAAUGUGAUUUGGUUUAAAAUCGAGGGAGUUUAUUUGACUGUCUAUAGACUUGGAAGAAAAAUCAAUUUGUUUUGAAACUGAAGAUGAUGAUUUUUUUUAUCAUCAAAUGUUGUCUGAAAAUUCUAGGUCUAUUUUGAAAGGAUUUUCUUUCCCUAAUCAAACCACGUCUGCAACUGAUAAUUUUAAAUUUUAAACUACAAAACAUAGCUUGGGAGCUAGAAAUUUGUUUAUAUGUGUACUGAUUGAUUACAGAAGGAAAAUGUUAAAUCAAGCUUUCAAUGAAAUUAUGCAUUUCUAGGAAGCUAUUCUAUCAUAGAAUUUCCAUGGAUUUAAAAAUGGGUUUAAUUAAAGGUUGAAUUCAGGUGGAUGUGGAAAAAAAAAUAUACUACUAUCAAUUAGUACAAUUACUAUGAUUUAUUAAAUAUUUUUUAAUAUAUUUACUAUUGCUUAAUUAACUAAAAAAGAGGAUGAGAAUAAGCAAUAGCAACUAGCAAGACAGCCGUGAAAUGUAGCGCGCCAUUUCUCCAUCUGAAUAUUUCUGCAACUAUCUCAGUCCAACUGUGUGUGAAGCAGAGGAGGAUAGAAGAAAUGGGAGUGGCACAACAAAUGGAUUGCAGAAAUUGGGAGGAAGAUUCCUACAGAGACGCCAUUUUGCAAGAUAGAGAAACCCUCUCUCGGACCGUUUUCCGGACCGCCUACGCUCCAAACCCUAAUCCCAAUCCCAAUUCCGACCAUGUCGUCACCGCCUCCAGCGAUGGCUCCGUCGCCGCUUUCUCCAUUUCCGCCUUCCUCGUAAUUCACCUACCUCUUUCUUUAUGGCUCUUGUUUGUUAACUAUACAAUUACGUUUCAUUCUGACAAUUUUUGGUCACGCAGGAGAUGGGCUGCGGACGCUCGAGGGAUCGAAAGUGAGUCUGAUUUAUUUUUAUGCGCUGUGAUCAUGCUCUUUGUUGGUUGUUUACGCGCGCUGGAUACUUUUAAGGAAAUUGGCUCUUGUUUUGUGUGAAGUUGGUUAGCUGCAGAGCCAGAGUUUGUGAUUCGAGGGCACGAUGGACCGGCUUAUGAUGUUAAAUUUUAUGAUGAUUCUUUGUUGCUGAGGUAUUUACUCUAGUUGGGAAAACACUUUGCGUUGCAUUUCCACUUGCUGGGAAUGGAGUAGUCUUUGUAGAAUUGGGUGCUCACUAGAUUCUGUUUUGAAGUUAUAUUUGGCUAUACAUAGUUGUUGCAUGAAUGCUUGUAUCCUGCGGAUCGUUUUGUCCUUUCAAUCUCUGUGUAAUGUUAUCAAUUGAAAUGAUUUUUCGAAUUAUUUAGUUGUGGUGAUGAUGGUCGAAUUCGAGGGUGGAAAUGGAAAGAAAUUUUAGAAAGCAUGGAAUCUGAGCGAGGUAAUUUUUCUUUUAGAUUGGAACAAUUUCUUUUUGCAACAUUGUCUUGACUAUUCCAUCGUUACAUGUAAAAAUUGGUGCUAUUAUAACUUUGAAACAUUCUUAUAUUUGUGUGAUGCUUUCCUCGAACUUAUUCUGCCACAAAUCUGGACCACUUAAGGCCACCGUCGGUUUUCGUAGUUUUUUUUUUUUACUAGAAAUUUUUUGUUUCUUAGGAUUCCUGUAUCAUGGUACAUCUAAUUCUGCAAAAGGGUGCCUUUCCAUUCGUACUGUUUAUGAAUUUUCUUCUUUAGACUUUUGGUUGCCCAUGUUUACCAUAAGAUAUGAGUUGCCAAUUAGUACUUUUUAUGAAUUUUCUUCUUUAGACUUUUGGGUUGCCCAUGUCCAUAAGAUAUCAGUUCUGAUGCCAAUGUUUUUUGAUCUAUCAAAUUUCCUGCAUAUUUCCUUACCAGUUACCACAAAGCACAAAAGUAUUAUACCACAUAUACCUUUUGCUUCUUUGCUCAACACCUUGAGUAUCAUCUUGUUUCUAAGUGAUUAUUCAUUUAUUUUGCAGGAGCCAAGAUGAAGCCAGUAUUUGACUUGGUGAAUCCUCAACAUAAGUUAGUUAUCUGAUUUAAAAAUUAAGUGCUAAGAUGUCAAAUUUAUUCUGGGAAACUUUUUGUAUUUUACAAGUGAUUUUGACUUUGCCUUUUGUUUCAAAAUGAACUCUCAUCAAUUAUUACAGUCCCAUGUUAAUAUUGGAUGCAUAUGAUAUGCGCAAUGGGACUUGUUUUGAAUCUUUUGAUGCACUGGGUUCUUUAAGAAGUAACAAUUUCUCCAUUUAUUCUCCGUGAAUCUUUCUAAUCUUACCAUAGAAUGAUACGGCGCCACGCGGGAGUCUGAAUAGUCAGCUGAUACUAAUGCUUUCUUAUAAGAUUUAUUUGCGCGACUCACCUAUUUUGACAUGAACUAUGGCUUCAGGUGGAGUCUUGAUGUUUCUCCUACUUUUGUUCAUGUUCUUUUAUUUUCUUUUCUUAUUCUUCUCUCUCUCUCUCUCUCUCUCUGAUCGAAGACCUUAAUAAUACCCAUAGGUGAACUAAAAAUUCCUUUUCACCUAAGUUUUGGAAAGUAUUCUUUCCACCUAUUUUUUCAUUACCACCUCAUACCAGCUAAUCAAAAUCAGCCUGCAUAACCCCAACCUGUUCCAGAAAAAUAGCCCAUACAACCAGACAAGGGUAUCGUUGCAUACAAAGUAAAAAUUUGGGUGUGAAAUAGUACUUCACAAAAGUUUGGGUUAAAAAAGUACUUCAACUUAAAUUGGCUUGUGGUUGUCAUUUUCCCUUUUUAAUUUCCAAUUGCCCAUUAUGUUUGUAGUUUAGAACAGAUUCAGCUUCCAAAGUAAUAAUUCUGCUGUUUUUCUUUAUAUUGCUUUUACGAUCUUUAAAUCUUUUUUGUUUCAGUUUUAUGUUUAUUUAUCAAUAACUUCCUUGUGUUACUUUAUUUGCUUGCAGAGGUCCCUGGGGUGCUCUUUCUCCUAUUCCAGAAAAUAAUGCUAUUGCUGUAGACUCUCAGGUUUGAAAUAUUCUUCUGCUUUUCUAAACUGCUUAUGUUGCUUGAAUACUGCAUGCCUUAUUAAGUACGCUGCUUUGACAUUUUAGGUUUGUAAUUUAUUUAUGGUUCUAGCCUUCUAGGAGAAGACAAAAGAAGGAAGUACCGGUCGUAAUUCGGGGAUAUUAAUUUGUUCUUUCACUUUGUUAUUGGGGUUUCCCAUAUACAGUAUUUCAGAUUCUUUGAGCAAUUAGAUACUUCUAACUUCCACUAACUGCAACAGCAUUAAAUUCAGAUCCUGGAAAACUAAUUUGCUGAAAAGUUAUGUUUAUAUUUCUUUUAAAUGUUUGCUAAAAUUGGUUUAUACAAAUGAGAACUGAAACUACUUCAGCCUUCUAACUUCCCAGAUACUACUGUCCUAGAACCUACCAUCAUAUUAUAUUAAUUUGAUGACAUUUCUCACUGGUUGUAGAGUGGAUCUAUAUAUGCAGCUGCUGGUGAUUCUUGUGCAUAUUGUUGGGAUAUGGUAUAGAUUUUCUUGAGGCUAUUUAUGUGUAGCAGUCUUUUUCUUUUUAUAGAAAAUAAACUUGAAAAACUACUUCAUUAACUUCUUCUGUGUCAAUCAGGAGAAAUGCCAGGUCAAGAUGGUUUUUAAAGGACAUUCAAACUAUCUACAUUGUAUCGUUUCGUGCAAUUCGAGUAAUCAGGUUGUGUUUUCUCUUGUUUGUUUGGUACCCUCUUUAUAUUGAGCUUCUGACAACCUAAGGUUUAACCCUUGAUAGAUUGGUUUAAGCUCUCCUUCUCUUUUUUUUUUUUUUACUUUUCAUUCUUGAGUUUUUCCUUACAGAUGGAAACUACUUCUAGUUGUUAACCUAAUGCUUUUUCUUAAACUCAAAAGAUUAUAUGAGGAUCCCCCUCCUCCAACCUUCUACUUUAAUUAAAACAAUAAAUAAGCAUAAGAGAGAAAAUGAAGAGUCUAGAUUGGAGUUCUAGAUGACUAUCAUUGUUCAAGCAAAUGUUGCUAGUGGAAAAGCUUAGAUGAUAUAGUGUUAGCGGCUCACUGAUUGAACUAAGAUGCUUUGAGAGUGAAAUUCAAAGUAAAAAUUCUCUGGAUGGAAGAAGGGAAGCUCCUUUAAAUCCAAAGUUUUCUUUGAAAUUCUGUAAUUGAGUUCUGAUUAUUAUUUCACCUUUUUGCAUUUCAGAUUAUUACUGGUUCAGAAGAUGGCACAGCACGUAUAUGGGGUAUGUUAUAACUGUGUUACUAGGACAAACUGAGCAUCUCUGCUUUCUUGUGGGUUAUGUUUUUAGUUGGGGUCAUGUUCUUAAUUUUUUUAUCAAUUGAUUUGACAUUACUGAGCAAUGACUUGUGAUGUAGAUUGCAAAAGUGGGAAGUGUAUUCAAGUAAUUAAUCCAGAAAAACAAGGCACAAGCGCUUCUUUUCCAUGUGUUAGCUGUAUUGCUCUUGAUUCUAGUGAGAGUUGGUUGGUAAGAGCAGCUGAACGCAUUGUGUAUUUAUGUAUUUUUCUUUUCUUACACUGCUGUAUUUGGUCAUGUUGUGAAGCACAUUACUAAAUCAUGCAAUUGAGUGUGUACAUGCAUUUAUAAGAUCUCUAGAGAAUACAAUUUUAUUUAUAAUGUAAAAACCAUUGACGUUUAGCAAGAUUUUUUGUAGUCGUGACCUUUAUUUUAGUUGUGGCCAAAUAAUCUGAAAGCACUUCUUGGAGAAAGAAUAUAUUCAUUUAGUUCUAGAAUCAGUUAAUGAGCUUAUAUAAAAAGAUUUAUGUAGAGAUUCAUUUACAUUAAUUACAGUAGGGAUUACCAAGGAGACAUUCUUUUCCUUUAGCUUGUAGUUUGAAAUGAUUUCUGAAAUUGUUAUGGUGAAUGCAGCAAUAUUGACUAUGACCACCUCCUCCUCCUCCCUCUCCCUCAUUUUUCUCACUACCAUUAUAUAUGUCUCUUAUAUCUGUAUGUUUGCAGGUUUGUGGAAAGGGCCAGUCUUUAUCACUUUGGAAUCUUCCUGCCCGUGAAUGCGUUUCAGUUGCUAGAACUCAGGCUUCUGUCCAAGAUGUUACAUUUGAUGAAAAUCAAGUGAGGUCUUGCAAAUCUUCGUACUACUUUACCCAUUCUUUCUUGUCAAUGAAAGCUCAUAGUUCGUGAUCCAGGGUUCAAAGUUUAUAUUUCAGCUAUCUACUUCUAGUGUGAUAUUUAUUGAAACACAGAUCUUUUAAUGAUCAUGCUAUCUCUAGAUACGUAUAUGAUUGUUAUUUGUGAUUUUAGUUCAUCUCCAUAGAAACUUAUAACCACCUGUUCUCAACUUUUCUGCGGGCAGAAAUCAAAUAAGUCUCUCAACUUAUGACUUCUCAAACUCACAAUCUUUGUGAAUGCAAUUAGGUGUCUAUUUUCUUUGUUACCUUAUACCCUGCUGGUAUUGGUUGGACAUUGCAUGAUCUGUAGAGGCUAUAUAAUGUUUUGGCCUAUUGUCUGUGCGUUCUAAUGUCUUGUUUCUAUGAAACUUUACUCCACUGAAAAUGGUUAUACUUUCUCUAUUGCAUCGCCAGUGUUGACUGUUGAAUAGUCGUAUUUCUAGGAUGUUUAUUUCAGUUCAUCUUUAGCUUUCUGCUUUGGGUUCAUCCGCCUUACGUUUGUCAUUCCUCAGAUUCUAGCUGUUGGAGCAGAACCAUUACUCACACGAUUAAACAUGAAUGGAGAUAUUAUUUCACAGAUCGAGUGUGCUCCAACAUCUGCAUUUUCCAUUUCUUUGCACCCUUCAGGGGUAAGUUCUGUUUUGAUAGAUCCUCUGUAAUUUCAGUUUUGGAGCUUGUGCUGCUACUAUUUGGCAGAUAUGCGUGUGCAAAAAAUAUUCUGGAUUAGAGCAUCUGUGGCCUUUGGUGAUGUUAAAGACUCGGAUCGUACAAUUAUGUUAAUAGUUCUAGCUUUUGCAUUGAUUUUAUACCAUCCCCAACCCCAACGCAAAGAAGGUUAACUGAACAACUUUCUAUAUUUACUCUAGUUGGUUGAAUCGAUGUAUGAAGAUAAACAGCAUAAUAAUCUCCUGUUACUCAGGUUAAGCCUCUAUCUACUCACGCUGUCCGUACAUUUUUGUGCUUCUUUUCCAGGUAGCAGCAGUAUCUGGUUAUGGAGCGCUCGUCGACAUGAUCUCACAAUUUGGGAGCCACUUGUGUACAUUUCGCUGUAAGGGGCUGUAAGUUUAGUAUCUGGCCUUGUUUGUCAACAUGAACUUUAAUUUGCGAGUGUCAACAUCCACUCCUGUCCACUGCCCAUCCCGCUUCAUCGUCUUCCAUGAAAAUUAGCGUUAAUGUUUUUGUGGUGCAGUAGAAUGUGAAAGAACUAAUUUUGUAAUUCUGUAGCUCAUAUGAAUUAUGUCUACCAGCUGAUAUUUUGUGUCUUCUCCUAUCCUCAGAUUCUUACUGUCAAUUGAAACUCACUUCUACAACUUUAUUACAUUUAAAUUGGGCUUUAGCUUGCGUUGCCUCAUCUUUAUGGUAUGUGUUUACCAGCAGUGAUAAAGAAAAUCUAGAAUGACUUACUUUUCUCUUUUUCAUUUGAUCAAAUACUAGACGAGAAAUCUGUCAUAAAAAUUUGAAUUCUAUUGGAGUUUCGCUUUGCCUUUUGUAUUCCAAAACAUUUUCUUUUUUGGCUUUGCCAUUUUACAAACUACAAAUUCGCUGACCAUGUGAACACAAAUAAAUGUGUUUUUUUUAAGGAAACAAUUUUUCCGUUUCUUUAUUUGACUCUAUUCUAUUAAUUUGUUGCCCAACUUAUCUAUAUAAUAUAUAAAAGAGGAGUUUUCUCCUUCUAUUUUUUUCUACCAUUUUUUCUCUCUCUUCUCCCACCAAUUUUUUCAUUAUUUUUCAUCUCUUUUUUCUUCUACAAUUUUAAUACUUUUUUAAAUAAUAUCAAAUUUAAUUUAUGAAGAAAUAUUUAAUAAGCAUCUUAUGUUUAAGUUUGUAACAAAAUAUUUAAUAUGGUAUAAAAAUUAUUAAAAAUAAAUUUAAAACAAAUAAGUUCCUAAAAUUUUAAAAUAUUCUAUUUUCUUUCUCUUUGUUAAAAUUUUACAUUUCUUUUAUUUUGUUCUGUGUAUGAAAAUAUUUAUUUAUAUGAAAAAAAUUGAUGGGAGAAAGAGAAAAAAUGGAGGGAAAAAACUCCCCUUUUAUAUAUUAUAUAAAUUUAAAAAAAUAGAAUUUCUUAAUUUUGUGAAAGAAAUUUUGUUUAUGGGUUUAAUUGUAGUACUUAAUGAACUUUGGGGUGUUAGUUGCUAUCAAUGUUAUGUUAAGGGCUUAAGUGUAAUUGGGGUGGUAAUGUUAGGGUGUUUUUGCAUAUUAACCCUUUAAUAUAAUGUGUAUAUAUUAUGUCACCUUAAAUUUUUUCAUGCAUGUUUUGAUUUGGACGAAAUUAAAAUUCAGGGCAAAUUCUGAAAUGAGCUAAUGUUUAUGUAUUUAUACUACAACUUUAUAUAGCUAAAAAAUAUAUCAAAAUUACACUAAUAAUUUUUGGAUUUACAACCAAUUAACGCUCAAAAAUAUGUUGUAAAAUGAAAACUACAGUAAAAAAGUAAUUAAAAGUUACCAAAAAACCCUUUCAAGACCAAUAAAAAAUUUGAAAGAAAAAUAUCUAGAUAUUUGGGUGGAAAUUUUAAAUAGAUAAUAAUCAUCAUUAGAUAAAAAGGUUUUGUCAAGUUCUUUGUCAUUCAUUUGAUAUGCCUCCAAUUAUAACAUGAUUUCAUUUUUAUUUUAAGACUACUAUCUUCAUUCUAAAUAUAAUAUUUUAAAAUAUAAUUUUUUUGUUAUCACCAACUAUAAGAUGGUUUCAUCUUCAUUUUCAUGCUACUAUAUUCACAUACUAUAAUAUUCUAAAAUAUACUAAUUUUGUUUUACUAUUUUAAUUAAAUAAGUAUCACUGUGCAUCGCACGGGAGUAAUACUAGUUUAUGUAAAACACCAUCUUUAAAUUGAGAUUUAUAUAACUAGAAAGGAAAUUCUAAACUUUAUUUUUAGUUGGGAAGUGGGGGAUUUGAGAUUCAUAGCCUGCGUUUCUCAUGCUUUGGGAAAGAAUACCAUUGAGGCAUUAAUGCUCAUGGUGAAAAGUUCUAGUUUUUUUUUUUUUUUUUUUUUUUUUUUUUUGUCAAAGGAAGAAAUUGUAUUAAUCAAGAUCUGUUUGUCAAUACAAUCUUCCUAAGCCAUGUAGGGAAUAUCAAGGGUUCCAAUACAUGGUCGCGAAUAAGAAAUGACAAACUUUGCAAGCGAACGUGUAGCCAUAUAUGUUGAUCUAUGCAUCCUCAGCGGUCCAAGUACAUGGCUGGAAAUAAGAAAUAACAAACUUUACAAGCAAAUGUGUAGCCAUAUUUGUUGAUCUAUACAUGUACCUUAACAAGCAUAUUCUCUCUUGUUAUAUCUAUAAUAUAUCAUGCACAUCUUGAGGAGAAGUUGCUCAGCAUCGUUUAGGCAAGAAAGAGCGCGGGCGGCAAGGCAUGAAUCAUGAUUCCUUGGAUAAUAACUUUAAUUUUUGCCAUGAGAAUGUUGAACGACAUGACUAUGCAUUUGGAAAAAGCAACAAUAAUAUGCCCCUCGUGAUUGCACAAAAGAACACCCGCUCCAAAUUUAUGGCCUGCAGGGUUAUAAUGUGCAUCGACAUCCACAUGAAAUCGUCCUAGCUUGGGCCUAGACAACUUUGUUUAACUUAAAGACAAGUUGAUUUUCUCACGAGAACGUCACUGUCGCAACUUGAUAAUUAUCCCACGAUGCGUAACAAUUAUGCUUUGAGGUAUUUUUCACUUUAUCCUUAGCAUCAUGUAGUAGUUUACACACCAUCACCCGUAUUUUCCGUAACAUGACAACCCAAAGUUCAUAUUCCUCCUUACUGUCUACUCCAAAGUUUUUGAUUUUUUGUGCUUGUGUUGUGCUUAAUGCUCAUGUCAUAGUAUCCCAAAUCAGCAAGGUAAGUCAAAUUAACAAUAAAGGUACCUUUUUGGUCGAAACACCAUCGAAACUCGUCCUCGUGCCCAUGCUCGCCAAUUGGGGGUAUAGAGAAUUAUGUGCCCAUGCUCGUUCCAUCCCAAAACCCGUCUCUACACCUUGUCUCUAAUAUAUCCAAAUUGCAAUUUCUUUUGUCAUAGAGUAAAAGACGACAUGCCCAAGUACAUUUGAAGCCCCGUCUUAGCAUCAAUUCUCAAAAUUUAUUGUACCUCUCAAUAGCUUCUUACAAAGUGUUAGGUAUAUAUGAUUUUUUAGAUUAAUGAGCUACCCAAAUGCUCGAUCAUAUUGCCCCAGAGUAUCUUUGAUUGUGUGUGCUCCCUCUCCAAUGGCUCUGAAAAUUAAAAGACUGUAAUCGACAAAAAAUAUGCGAGUUAUACUCAACUCCUGUGAAAUUGUUAGAGCCCCAACUAUUCGUUUCUCAACCUCGAACUUGUUGAAUAUAGAUGAGAACCUUUGAGCGCACAAGACAAAUAAGAAGGGAGAAAGAGGAUCUCUUGUCGAAGUCCACGGGUGGGUAUGAUACCACCUUAGACGAUCACAUUCAACUAAAUGAGAAUGAGACACAAGUAACACACCACAUAAUAAGACGAUGCAAUGUAUGGAACUAUCCAUUUUCAUAUAAUAAAUAUAAAAAGUAUUCACAAAAAUAAAAAACAUAAAACUUUUAUGAAAGACUGCAUAAUUGCCCUUAUAUCUAUUUUAUGGAGGAUAAUAAUAAGAACUCUAUGGCGUUUGAUUUUUUGUCAAGUAACAUUUUAUCGAUCAGACAAUUAGAUGAAGAGCAUAUGUGUAUUGAGAUGGAGGACUAGAUGUAUAUAGAUGGUUUGUGAUGAAUUGAACCUCAACCAAAAAAGUUAUUUUUUCUGAUCAUCAUUAUCAUUAUCAUUAUGUUGUCCAUUAAUAUUUUUGCUUUACUUACAAAAGUAAAGGGUAAGGUAUUUCACCAUGAUAUGGCUUCAAUCUAAAGUCAGGCAGGUUUGUUUGAAAACCUUAAGAGGACGUUUGGUUUGAAUAUGAUAGAGAAGAUUGAUAUGAUUUUAGGAUAAUUAAAUAAUCAAUCAAACUUUAGAGUAAUUAAUCAUCAUCAAAUUAUAGCAAAAAAUCACUAUUUCACAAUUGAGAGUAUUUAGAGUUGUGAAUUUAAACAAAAAAUCACUAAUUUAAAACCAAGAGUAUUUAGAGUUGUGAAUUAAAACAUACAAACUCGAAUUCACAACUAAGAGUAUACUGGAUUAUAACAAAAAAUUUGAAUUCACAACCAAGAGUAUCUCGAGUUAUGAAUUAUAGCAUAAACACUCAAUUCACAACCAAUAGUAUUCCAAAUUGUGAAUUACGGUAUAAAAACUCGAAUUUACAACCAAUAGUAUUUCGAGAUGAGUAUAUCAUAAAAUCUCGAAUUCACAACCAAGAGUAAUCAGGAUUGUGAAUUAAAACAUAAAAAUUCGAAUUCACAACCAAUAGUAUAAAGAGUAUUGUGGGUUGUGAAUUAUAGCAAAAAAAUCUCGAAUUCACAACCAAGAGUAUUAAGAGUUGUGAGUUAAAGCAUAAAAACCUGAAUUCACAACUAACAAGUUGUGAAUUAUAGCAUAAAACUUGAAUCCAUGACCAAGAGUAUUUCGAGUUGUGAAAGUAUAAAAAGUCGAAUUCACAAUCAAGAGUAUUUUUUAGUUGUAAAUUAUAUUAUAAAAACUCAAAUUCACAACUAAGAGUAUUUCGAAUUGUGGAUUAUAACAUAAAAACACAAAUUCACAACCUAGAACAUUUCAUGUUGUGAAUUACAACAUAAAAACUCGAGUUCACAACCAAAAGUAUCAUGAGUUGUCAAUUACGGGGUUAAAUAGUAAGUAUGAUUAUAUUUUACUCCCUCCAUCCCCCAAACAACUUCCAAACUUUCAUUUUUGAGUCGUCCCCCAAAAUAAAUUCCUUUCUAUUUUUGGACUAUACCACACCACUAAUAAUACCUCAUUUAUCAUUACUUAUCACAUUUUCACCAUUCUCAAUACCCCAUUUACCUUUACUUUUCACUUUUUCACAUUUUCGUUUUAAAACCUAUGCCCCUCCCUCCUAGGAAGUUAUUUGGGGGACGGAUGGAGUACGUUUUUAUAUGAGUGCAUAUUUCUUUAUUUUGUACUCACUCGGCUUGGAUAUUUUAAAAGUCCACUCUAAUAAGAUUAUAAAUCUCUCUCAAAAACUCAUUCGACAGAGCACCGCCAUAAGAUAUUUCCAUUUCACUAUAUCAUACUCCUCCCGUCCAUGAAAAAACUCCAUACUUUUUCAUUUUUGGGACAUCAACUGAAAAACUUCCUAUCUUUUUUGGACUAUGCAUCACUACUUUUAAUACUCCAUUUAGACCCGUACUUUUUACUUUUUCACAACUCUCAAUACUAAUUACAACACCUUUUCACCAAUCUCAAUACACUCAACAACAUUUUCUUAAAACUCGUAUCACUUUCUUCUAAGAAGUUCUUUCAUGGACAUAGAGAGUAUGUUUUACUCAUGUCAAUCUCCAUUGCAACAUACUCAACCUUUCCUUUCUUCCUAUGUCGUAGCUAGUGCUGCCAUUCAAAGCUAAUAAGGAUGUUAUCUAUGAUAAGCCUACCAUUUUAUUUAGCUAUAGACCUACUCUGUAUAUCCCUCAACUAAGCAAAACAUGGGUCUAUGAUCCCAAUUGAGGAAACCAAGUUUUUUGUUUUCGUACCUGGGAAUCGGUUAAGCCACACAUCAUUCUUGAAGAUUCGAUACAAAUAUUUGAAUGCUGCCUCUCUCUCUCCCCUUCCACCCCCUCCCAUUUUAUUGAACUAUGUAGGAGUCUUUUUCAUGUUCUGCAUCUUGUGAAGAUGAUUAUAUAAAAGAGCUUAUUUGAAUAACUUCAUUUGGUUGAAGGGUUUCGGUCGACUUCUAUGUUUCUCAUCAUCCACAAGGAGCUCAUUAAAUCCCCGCCAAUCAGCCAUAGCCUAUCAUUCCUGCCUUCUUGAUCACUUAUCCAUUUGAGUAGAUCCUAACAUAAUCUAUUUUCCUCAAUUAACAUAUUCAUAUAGAACCUCGUGAACCACCAUGUGAGACUGCCCUAUCACAAUCGUGCAGUCCACAUAUCCAAGUAAGAAAGCAUUUGAUCCCCAAAAAUUCUGAAUAAUGAUGAGAUCUCAUUCUAUUAUAAUACAUCCACGACAAAAUACCCGAAUAUCCCAACAUUGUCCUCCAAAAAAUUACAUAUACGAGCAACUAGUUUAGUUUCAUAGAGAACAACUAGAAUUAGGAAAGUAUAUGCGAUGAGACGUCAGAGUUCCUGGAAUACGUGGGAACUUCCCAACCCCUGCGAAUUGCAUACUAUAACACUCACAAUUCUCGUCAGGACUGCUCUGCAGCAGCCACCAUUGUGUACUUGGUUUGCUCAUCACUGCCAUGAAGUUUAGCCAUUUUAUGCUUGGGGCCUCGAGGUUGUCAUCCAAGAAUGGCUUUUCUACACUGAUGCAGUCAUCCAUUUUUAUAGCAAAUGAGUUCGUGGUUGUAGUCCCGUUCUCCAUUGCCUUUCUUUUACAUCAUUUGUGUCUCCUUUUACUUUUUGUGGGGAUACAAUAUCAGUCAUUAUUGUAUUAAUGUUACUCUCAUGGCGCAGUUCUAUCCUCAUUCUUUCUCCCGAAGCACUAUUAUCACCUUCAUUGCUAUUUCCCACCAAUAGUCAGCAUGUUCCCCUCCAACUCCACACCUUGACGAUCCUCAUGUCUUGUGUAAACUCAAUAAUAUUAUCAUAAGCUUAUUCCCAACAUGUUCAGCCUCAUUUUCCACACAUCCAUCAAUGUUUGCCUUUUCACCUUACUGUUAUAUCUCACUUUCACGACCAACUUCUGGUCUCGGGAGAAGACGAGACCCCUAUGAUUAGCUUUGGAUAGGGGCCUACAUCCGUAUGAGUUAGUAUUCGGCCGUGGAUAGUGACUUGUUCGCCGAUAAUCAAUGCCCCUAUUUGUACGAAGCCACACCCUGAAUUGUAGGUUUGUCUUUGCUUCUACAUCAACAUCAAAAAUUUUCAUGUGGUGUUCAGGCAAAAACAAAUCUGAUAAAUUCUUGUAGAGCACCAAAAAACAACACCUUUCUCAUCUCUCAUAGAACUAUAACUGGAACACAUUGAAUGGGCAGUUCACCAAUAUAUCUAAUAGCCCAUACCCGUUCAUAUCCUCCAAGACACAUACCGUUCGCUCCUUUAUCCACCUCUAACACCUCUCUAAUUCGCUCUCCAAUACAUCUGAUAAUUUGGGAUUCCAUGCACGCAAUUGAUAUAUUGUGAAGUUGAACUCAUAUAGAAUUUUGUUGAAAGCAAUCAACAUCAUCAUUUGCAUGGAUCCUGCCUUUCGAAGAAGCAUCAAAUCAUGAAAAAAAAAAAGACAUGGCCCUUACAAAAUGAUUGGUGGACGUCGUAUACCACCAAAUAAUUCCUGCAAUUCUACCAAGAAUUAAAUGAGUAUAGUAAUAAGCAGGGUCGAACCGAAGAAAACGGAGUAAUAACUUCAAAUUCCUAAAGAUCUAAAUCGGUGUAGCCACCACGCCUUAAAUUGAGCGAUAAUACUAAUCAACUACGAAAGCAAAUAAAUUAACAAAACUAGCAAAUAGAAUUUAAUCAAAGAAAUGUAACUCGGCUCGAAUAAAUCCAUACUAAUUUAAUAACUCUGAUCAUCGACGCAAAUAUAAAUUAAUCUCUAUCAACCAACCAGUUAAAGGAUACCGUGAACGCAACGGACGUACCCCAAUUCCUACUUACUUUGUCGAUAGACAGCUGUAGACGCCAGACCUGCCUAUUUCCCUUAUUAAAACAUAACCUAGCUGUAGACGCCAGACCUAGAUUUAAUGUUUCAAUAGCAUUAAGAUGAAGGAAUCCAAUUUAGACAAAUUACCCAAGAACGCAAGUAAUAAUUCGUCUACCCAUUUAUUCCUACUACGAAUAUUGUAGCUUUAUUACUAAUUAGCCAUAUUCCAACAAUUAUGGAUUUGAGGAAUCAAUUGACUUUAAUCCAAUUAAAUCUAAGUUGAUCAGACUUAAAUUAAAUCAGAAUUGACCUUAAACACAAGGAAUAAUUAAAUUGAAAUCAAUAUGACUCAAUUAUAUGAACAAUUAGGUCUCACAUAUAUUAAAUCAGUAUUUCAUUAUUCACAAUUAAACUAAAAAUAAUCAAAUUAAAUAAAUAAAACAUAAUAAAGAAAAAUCUACUGAAUUGAAAUAAAUAAAAUUCUAUCACCAGAAUUCCAAAACGUUAAUUGUGGCUCGAUGCAAAACUCUAAGUACGUACGCUUCCAAUUGCUAAAUAAGAAAAUUUGUAAAAGCUAUCAACUAAAUUCCUACGCCGCGAAUCCCCUUUGCUCUAAUGCCAAAAGAUGGCUCAGCCGCCAAAGUCCUAUUACACCAUCCAAAGCCCCCCCCUUUUCUCCAAGGUCAAAUUGCUUUUAUAAAUCCCAACUUCCGCCACAUUAAUUAAUGGGCCGAAACUAAUUAACUAAAGCCCAUUUUCUAAAGUUAAAAUUAUGGCAGAUCCUUAUGAGGAUUAGUAAUUACGUGCGUCUUUUGGAUCUUCACAAAUUGAUAUUAAAAUCCCAUCUUUUUCAUCCUUCUUUCAUUCGACCUCAUCGUCAUCAAAUUCUUCAAUUCCUGCACAAAAAUUCUUUCAUUCGACCUCAUCGCCAUCAAAUUCUUCAAUUCCUGCACAAAAAUUCAUUUAAUUGUGUAUAUUAAAUUCGCACAAAAUAAUUCAAGAAUAUGAACAACUAAAAUACACACAUCAAUGAUCCUUUCUCUAUCUAAUUCAAGAUAUAGGGAUCUAAAAAAUAUUCUCUCCGUCUCGUAAAAGAGUAUCACUUGUGGUUGUGAGAUAACACGAGUUUUAAGAAAUGUUUGGUUGAUAAUAUGUUGAGUGGAGAAAAUGGAUCCACUACUUUUUUAAGAAAAUGAUGAUGUGUGUGGUAGAUAAUGUGUGGAUUCAUGUCCCAAAAGGAAAACGAUAAUUUCUUAUGGGAUGGAUAAAAAUGGAAAAGUUGAUAUUUUUUUAUCGGACAGAGGGAGUAUAUUACAUCCCAUAGUCUCCACAUCUGUUGAACCGCAAAUCUGGAGAAUUUGUGGUAGUUGUUCUCGUAGCAUUUCGCGGUUGUUAUUUUUCCAGUAAUGAAUUUGUUUGCCCUUGAUUCACCAGAUGCCGCCUCCAUGAAUGAUAAAGUAAUCAUUUUUUAUUGUGCUUUCGUUGAAAGUUUCAAAUCUGCCGCCUAUUUUACAAAGCUUGUGGCUUCUUUGCAAUUAAUGAAUGAUUAUGAUUUUUUCUCUAUAAAAAUGAACAAAUAUUCCCUAUGUGAAAGUUAAGAUCUAGAUUCAAACUCAACAAUUGUCUUCUCCUCUAAAUAAAAAAUAAAAUAAAACAAAUUCCAAAUUAACAACUCAAAGACUAUUGGGCCUUGAUCCAAUUAAAGUUGGCCCAAGCCCAACCCAUUGGUCCCUAUUCUAUAUUUCUCAUUUAGGCAUUUUAAAAAAAAUGUAACUUCUUUGUGGCUCUUUCUCUUCCAAAUGAAAUACAUGAAAUUUUGGGACAAAUGAAAUUUGAGAAGAAUUCAGGGUCCCUUCACUCUCUUCUCUCUCUUUUGUGCUUUCCCCAAAUUUUCACUCUUCAAUUUCCCUCCACUUUUUUCCCUCCGUUUUGCUCCCGAUCUUUACAAAAAUCUUUUAAACCUCUCUCUACCUAUCCAUCCCUUUCUCCCUCCAUCUUCAAACUGCUUUUUCUUUCAAUUCGCGGAACAGACUAAGGUGAGUGUGUGUGUGGGUAUAUGAUUAUCUGCAUGUAUAUAUUUAGUUGGGUUGCUUCGCAAAUCAUCCCGGUAUGAAGUCUUGUGGCUGUCGGUUUUAUCUGAUAUUGUAUGGAGUUGUAUGAGUAUGUGAAUUCAUAGUCUUCUCCGUUUCUAGGGUUUUGUUUGAUUUUGCAAUUCGUCUUUGAAAUGUUACCUCGUUGUUUGACUUCGCAUGCCAGUUUUCUGACAAGGAAGUCUUAUCUCUUUCCAUGGAGCAUGAAUUGAACAUUUUUACUAUAAUAUCGAUGUGAUGCUAGUUUUGCAGUUAGUUGACCUCCUGUAUUGAAUGACCCAAUAUUAGCAAACUAACUGUUUAGAUAGAGACAGCCUUAAAGUGUAAGAUGGGAAGACUUAAAUCUUUGCUACAACUUAACUGUAUGGUUUUUUAUAGAUGGCUAGGAGUUUGGAUUUGAAUUGAACGCUAUUGUUUAGUAUACGUAUCUGUGCUUGAAGUUAUAAGUCUCUCUCUGCAUGAUAAUAAGUUACAAGCAGGAAAUUGAGUUCAAUGCUACCUCUGAAGAAUAUUUGAACUCCAAUUUUGUUUUUUUCCACUAAAUGUGUCCUGUUGUGCAACUGCUAGAGUAACAUACAUGAUUGUACUUUCUAAUUUUCCUUUGGAUUUAUUUGCUUGUUUUGCCAGGUUCAGUUACAGAUCUUUGAUACUGAUGGUUCCAUGAAUGCUAUCAAGCUGCCCUAUAUCGAGACAAUGUACCGUGGCUGUUUCAUCAAUCAUAUUAUGAAAUCAGCUUAAACCUCAAGGUUAUACAAGCAGACUUCCAUUUUUUGUAUUUUAUUUUGGUUGUUGCUUUUGUCUUAGACUAUUAGGUAGUGGAAUUCCACUUGUAUAACUCCUCGGUACCGAGCUUUUCCCAUAACUAUUACAUAUGUUUGUGUGUGUAAAGCAUUUGAAUUAUAAAAAAAUGUCAAUAUGGUUGCAGGUUCAAGCACUCAAGUUAUAUUGUAUGAACAAGAGGAGCACUUUCCGUUUUUGCCUUUUAAGAUAAUUUGGGGAAUAUCACUGCUAGAUAAUCUUGCAUCUCUAUAUUAUUAAUGGAGUGCAACAAAGAUGAGGCUGUCCGGGUCAGGGAACUGGCGGAGAUGAAAAUGAAAAACAAUGACUUUGAAGGGGCUCGAAAGAAUGUACUGAAGGCACAGAAUCUUUAUCCAGAACUUGAGAAUAUUUCCCAGCUGCUUAGCAUCUGUGAUGUUCAUUGUUCAGCUAAAAGAUUGGUGCCUGGAUCUGAAAAGGACUGGUAUGGAGUCCUUCAAGUUGCAAAGUUUGCUGAUGAGAUGGCAAUCAAGAAACAAUACCGGCGGCUUGCUCUUUUUCUCCAUCCGGAUAAGAAUCGAUUCCCUGGUGCAGAGUCUGCUUUUAAGUUGAUUUGUGAAGCAAAUGCUGUGCUUUCAGACCCCCAAAAGAAGUAUUUAUAUGACCAGAAGAUCAGAGUAAUGGUUAGAUCUACUCCAGUAGUCCCUCCACAUCACCACUUGAAUAAAACUUCUCAAUUUAACAAGCAAUAUGGACCUGAGAUCAAAGUUGCCAAUGGUUUUCGCAGUAUGAAUCAACAUCAAACCACGCAGUCGAGCUUUUCUGUCAGGCAGGAAGUGUUCUGCACAAGUUGCCCGUUCUGUAGUUUAAAGUACCAGUUGGAUAGAAAAUUUGUGAACAAAAAUUUGCGCUGUCAGAAAUGCACAAAAACUUUUACAGGUUAUGAAACGGGUGCUCAAGGUAUUCCUGAAGGUGUUCCGCUGGCAUCCAAAUACGCUCCGGGAAGUUCUCAGAAUGGGAUACCGAAUCACGGCGGAAGUAAACAUGGUGUUCAAAAUGGCAAGGGAUCUUCGGCAUCACAUAUGGCAUCUCAGUGGUGUGCCAACAAGCAAACCCAACCAAGUGUUCAGACGGAAAGUAUUUUCAAAGAUAAGGGGGUAGGAAGGCCUGCAAAGGUCAGCAGGAAGGCCAAACGAAAGGGGAGAAGAAGGGGUUCGGAAUCUAGUGAGAGUUAUGACACCUCCAGUGAAUCUGACCUAGAAGAUGUCUAUGGUGUUGCAACCAAUCCGAGUUCUGGACCUUCUAAUGCCCAUUUUCCACGUAGAUCAUCUCGGAAAAGGCAAAACAUAUCCUACAAUGAAGGUGUUGGUGAUGAUGAUGAUGAUGAUGAUGAUCUUCCUCUUCCUAGUCCUCGCAAGAGAUCUCAAGGAAACAAGUUACCAGAAGAUAAUGGAAUCAGGCAAAACAAUGCUUUGGAUGGAGAAUCUGCAAAACAUGAGAAUCAAAAUGGUUUACAUGCUGAUGCAGAUUUUUCCAAGACUGAGAGUAAAGAAACAGGAUCUGUUUACCCUGAAGAAAGACCGCAAAACAAGUCUUACAGUGACACAGGAGUCAAGACAAAGGGAGAAGGUGGUCGUAUGCCAAACAUUGGUGCUGAUGCAAUUGAAACUGAAAUUGACUCUGACAGGGAUGCACACUCUGGUGACGAUUCAAUUAAGGACCACUGUGAGUGUGAUGAUCCAGAAUUUAAUGAUUUUGAUAAGGACCGUGAUGAAAAUUGUUUUGCUGUUAGCCAGUACUGGGCUUGUUAUGAUUCAGCUGAUUCCAUGCCAAGAUUUUAUGCAAAGGUGAAGAAGGUACAAUUCUCUCCAUUUGAGUUGUGGAUCACAUGGUUAGAAGCUGAUCCUGCAGAUGACGCUCAAAAGAAAUGGAUAGAUGCGGAUUUACCUGUUGGUUGUGGGAAUUUUAAGGUUGGCGCAACUCAAAAAAUGUCAAAUCGUUUCACAUUCGCUCAGCAAGUGCACUGUGAGAAGGGUAAGAGAGGUUCUUUAAUCAUAUAUCCUAGACGAGGGGAAGUUUGGGCUCUUUUUAAGGACUGGGAUUUGAGCUGGAGCUCCCAGCCUGAUAGUCGCAGAAAGUACAAAUAUGAAGUUGUGGAGGUGUUAUCGGAUUUUGAUGCAGUGGCUGGUGUCAGAGUUUGUUACUUAGAUAAAGUUGGAGGAUUCGUGAGCCUGUUCCAAAGAAGUAGCCAGAGCGCGACCGAGUCAUUUAUGAUAAGGCCCAAUGAAGUAUACAGAUUCUCACACUGUAUUUGUUCUUUCAAAAUGACAGGCUCUGAAAGAGAAGGAGUGCCAGUUGGCUCUUUUGAACUCGAUCCUGCAGCCCUACCUCUGAAUCCCGAUCACUUGUACUACCCCGGAAAAUCAAAGAUGGGAACUGAUAACACGGAGCCUGGAGUUAAUUGUGCUCCACCAGAGUCGGGUACAGGAAAAGAUAACUUUGUGGAUCUGGAGUGCUCUGAUGGGUAGCUUUAUGAAGUUCAUUGAUCCCUCAGAGAGAUGAACUCUGUCAGGAAAUAUAGAUAUUAGAAAAGAAACGAUCAGGCGGCAGUCACCUGUCGAUGUCAUGCAGAGCAAGUUGUCUUGAAUGAUGGACUGUUGUGAGUUAGAAGAUGAAGCAUGAUGUUGUUAUGACAGCCUCAAGAAGGUGCUUUCUUUUGUUAACUUAUUGAUUGGGAGCUUUAACAAGCAUCAGUUGCAACUUUGCAGGUGACAUGUAUCAUUUUGAAUUAGAAUGUUGAUAGUGUAGUGGAAAUGAUAUAUCUUUCACCUAGUUUUAGUUGGUGCAACUCUUUUGUGAUUUUUGUAGUUGCUGCUCUUCUGUGCUAAUGCAGAGUGCUUUAUUAUGUCUUCGUUUGAGAUCUCUUUAGUUAACUUUGUUUCAACUAUCAUUUUCAUUUGAUCUGAAAGUAUUCAACCCUUUUCUGUUUUUUGGAUUGUCUUGAGAAACACCAUGUCCCAGACUCCCAAAUCAUUCAGUGUUUGGUUGCAUUACUAAACUGGUGACAAGUUCGGGCCUCAUAAAUGUCUUAGAGCAUCUCCAGCGGGCGUUUGGCGCCCCGGAUCGAUCCGGGGCGAGGAGAAGACAGCCGCGCUGGAGAUCUCGGCUGGGUUGAGGCGGCGUCUUAGCGGCGACACGGGGCGAAGACUUUGGUUGAGAGAUCCGUGCACUACACGCGCACGGUUUAAAUUAAAAAAAAAAUGAAACAAACUUUUUUUAUUUAUGAAAUCAGUUCCAGAGAAACGAAAUUUGGGGAAGAAUAGAAACUUGAGAGAGAGGAAAAAUUUGGGGAAGAAAUCAAUUGGAGAGAGAGGGAAAAAUUUGGGGAAGACGAUGGGGGAAGAAGAGGGUAGGUGGGGGUAGGUAUUUGACUUUUUUUUUAAAUAUAUUUUUAAUAUGUUUUGUUUUAUUUAUUGUUUUUGAAUUUUUUGAAUUUUAAAAUUUAUCAUUUUUUAAUUCUUUUUCGUAAUUUUUAGGAUUUUUAAAUUUUAGUAAUUUUUUUAGUUAUUUAAAUUAUGUAAUUUUUUUAAUUAUUUAAAUUAUAUAAUUUUUAUUUUUAAUGUAAUGUUUAAUUUUAUUUUUAAUGAAAAUUUUAAAUUUUAAAAAAGAAGGUAGAAUUGGAGAUUCUAAGAGCUUAUAAAAUGUUUCUUGGAGCUUUUAAUUUUUUUUCCUUGGCUAUUUUUAAUGAAAAUUUUAAAUUUUAAAUUUUUUGGAGCUUAUAAAAUGUUUCAAGAGCUUAUAAGAUGCAAUUUUUAAAAAAGAUUAAGUUUUCAAAGUGUUUGGGUGAUUGAGUUUAUAAGCUAGAGUGAGAAUUUUUAAUUAGUGAGAGAAAAUUUUUGUUAGAGAGAGAAAAUCGAAGAAAAAUGAAAUUAGAAUGAUAUAUGAUGAAAAUAAAAAAUCAUAGUUGAAUUAUUUUUGUAAAAUGAGUGUUGCUUAUAAGAUAAUGAGAAAAUAAGUUGGGGUAGAGGAACUUAAUUUUACAGCUUAUAAGCUCCUUAGAUGACUUGUCUUGACAUAGCCAAGGAAAAAAAAUUACUAUUGUGUGCGUGUGUUGGCUUAGUGGUAAGUGGUGAAUGCCCAAAGUCUGAGGUCCUGGAUUCGAGUUUAUCGUCGUACGGUCUUUAAAUUUUUUAUUUAUUUGUGUAAUUUAUCAAAAAAAAAUACUACUCCCUCCGUCCACGAAAUGAGUACCCAUUUGUGGACGAUACGAGUUUUAAGAAAUGUAUGGAGUGUAGUGUAAAUAGUUUAAUGGUCCCACUUUUUGAGUGUAUUAAUUAAAGAGAUGUGUGGGGUACACUUGCCAAAAAGGGAAAUGGGUACUCAUUUCGUGGACGGACGAAAAAGGAAAUAUGGGUACUCAUUUCGUGGACGGAGGGAGUAAUAAAUAGGAAUAUUUUAAAACUUAAAAAUUCAUGUUCCAAACUUGAAAUUGAAACUUCAGCCAAAAAUCAUGAUUCGGGAAAUUUUCUAUGGGAUGUUUUUCUAUAUAAUCAAAAUUUACCCCAUUUCAAUAUUAUGUCGUUUGAAAUAUACAAAAUAGGUUUGCUGCAUUUAUUUUUAAUUUCUUCUAUCAAUCUCAAAGUAGCUCUUUAGAAAAACACUAAAUUCAAUAUAUGGUAUUACAUGUUUACAACCUUAUAAAACACUCCAAAAUACUAAUAAAUAUACGAGAUAGUUAAAUUUCAAAGUUUUGAACCUUUUAUUAUCUGUUAUAGAUUUUGAAUAUAUAUAUAUAUAUAUAUAUAUAUAUAUAUAUAUAUUAUAGUAANGUAUAUAUAUAUAUAUAUAUAUAUAUAUAUAUAUAUAUAUUAUUGGAAAUGAGUGAUAAGUUAAAUGUAGAGUGAAAUUGAAUUUCACUUAAAAACAUAAUUAAAUUGAUAAUUUUGUUCGAUUUGAUUCAUAGCGUUUAAAAUUAAGAUUUCCAUAUGAAAUCAAGUCAAGCUAAUUUUUAUUUUUAGCAAUAUUACUAUUAUACCUCGUGUUAUGUACGAAAUAAAAAAUAUAAUAACAUUAUAUAGUGUAAAAUAAACUUGCCCUAAUGAAAACAAUAUGAUGAAUUUGACAAUAUUGUAAAAAACGUAAAAUGAAACUGAGGCGAAGCGAUAAGCCUUGAGUUGGUGCGAAGCGUAAGCCUCUAAUAAACAAAAUUAUGCCUCAAAUGAUAACAAAUAAAAUAUAUAAGUGAUACAUAUUUUAAGAUAAUGUAAUUGAGUGUAUUGAGAGAUCAGUCUUAGGCCUAUGGUGAGCAAAUCUAAGAUUAAUACUGAUAUUAUUGAAAUAUCUUCUAUUUGACAGGUUUAACAAACAAGAUGAGAGAAGCUCAAUUCAAGGAGAAACAUUAAUCUGUGUUAUUGUCGGGUUGAUGUCGUGGGAAAAUAUCCCCGAAUGUGCAUGACCAUAAGAGCCAAUCCACAAAAUGUCAAAGAAUGGUAUGAAUUCGGGACAUUAGCCUCAAUUUGUACUAUGUCACCAGCAUUCAACGAGAUCAAGGGGCUACCUAAAUUGAUCCAAGAAACGGUCUAUGAUGCAUGGUCAAUGAACGAGUCCCUCAAAAUGGAUGUUUUGAAGUUGUAUUUCCUUAGUGCAGCUCCUGAACCAACAUGAAAAGAGAAUCCAAGGCUUUUCAUUUCAUCAAACUUCGGAGGCCCGACAACCAAGCUCUUAACCGGAUCAAAGCACCGGAAAGUCAGUCCUCUAUCCCACAUUCACAGAGGAUCAAAUCUCCACAAGGCGAGCAUGAGGAUUAUGGGUUUGUCUCACUAAGAUGGACAAAAUCAAAUCUAGGUUUAAGUUUUUCAGAACUCGAACUUGGGUUCAUUUCUGUUAAAUACUAUGAUAGGAACCACGACGAAGUUUGUAGAAAAGAUUUUCAAGGAAAAGAGGUCACUACUGUGGCAAAACAAGAUCGCGGGAGUAAAGAAACUCGUCGCAAGUUCUGUAAUAUGACUCAUUUUGGCCAUUGGACGGACCACAUCUGUGUGGAAUGCCCCAACUAGAAGGAAUCGUAAUUCAGAAAAGGGUUUUUUACCCAAACCAAAUAAGAAGAAAUUUCAGUCCAAUGAAUGCGAGGAACCUAGGAUUCCUCGUAGACGAGCACUUUGGGCACUGUCACACCCCAAUUCUUGAAGUAAUAAAUAUAAUCGAGGUGCGAAUAACUCAUAGAAAUAAACAAGGGAAAAACCUUGUUAAAAUUUAAAUAGGAUAGCAAGUCGGGCUAUGCCCUUUUGGAUCACAAGUUUUAUUUCAUGCUUCUGACAACUGACAUUCAUUAGCAUAAAACUAGGAAUUUCAAAUUGAAGCUCGGCAUGAAGUCAUUCAAUGUAUAGUAUAGAAGUCUUAGGUUGAGAAACCAAAAGACGUAUAAGUGUUAUUGCUACAGCGAAAGUCUAAAUAGAAAAUUGAACCCUAGCCUCAGCUCUGCCCUGUCAACACCAGCCAAUCAACCUGAAAACAUUUGAAAGUAUUUGGGCUAAGUACUAAUGUACUCAGUGGGCAUACAUUUUCUGAAACAUUUCAUAUUUUGUAAAGAUAGUUUAUCCAAUCAUACUUGACAUAACUUAGAAGGUUUUAAAUUGAAAGAACUUCUAAGCGCGCAUGUUAAAACAUCUAUUUCAUUUGUGCGCACAUGUCACACUCCCUUUCUGUUACUCGCUGUGAUCCCAGACCUUUUAACCACCGACGAAUCUAUUUCUCUCAUUUACUUGAACUAAGGGUGUAACCCAGACAAGUUUCAUUUUACCUCGGGACGCUACCCAGACAGGCCUUACAUUAUAUGCUCCGGAACCCAUCCAGCAAGCACCCUUAUAACGUCUCUUAGUUAGUGCUCGAUGGAGAUCAACCCACCGAGUCAGCUAACGAGUGUACACAAUUCUCAAAUAACGUGUUAGGCUAUAAGAGAACCUCGAACGAUUCGUUGCGGUGAGCCUUAAAUAGAGCAGAGUGCACAUAAAUAUUUUAUUAGAUAAACAGUUUGCAUUUCAUUAAACAUUUAGAGCUUAAUAACUCAAUCAUACUUUAUACAUUUGGAAAGUAAGCCCACCUGGAUAGGCAAAGCCUGAAGAUCAUAAUCAC
rnacentral:lncRNA from 1 species